GUCUAAGAGUUAGUUAAAAAUAUUAAGGAAGGAUGGGAUAAAUAAGUUCUAGCGCCCGUGUACAUUUUUGAGUAGAGUUCUUUAUGUUUUAUAAUGUAGAUUUCAAGUGCAUGACGAACUUACUUGGUCCGCUAACACUCGCUAAUUUUACUCAAAUGUAUUUGGUGUGUUCAGUGGUGUAAGAAAGGUUAGUGGACUCAUCAGAAUAUAAAAGUUAUGGUAUAGCGGUGAACGGGAGGAUUAGCAUUGUAGAGGAGUCAAAAGAGUGGUGUUCCUUGGGUAAAGGUUGAGGUGGGUGAAAGAACUCUUAAAGUUUCUUUAGCAGGCCGAGGUGCCUGCCCAGUUAAACCUUGAAGGAUCCAGACUGUUCUUGCUUCUUCUAGCAACUGUGCCGGCAACACGAUGGACUUGGUGUAUCAAUGAUAAAUUGAAGCAUUUUUCAAGUGAUGCGGAUGAUCAGGCUGAUGGGGUAAUAAGAAGUGAGGUGAUCUGUUAGUUAUUUAGUUCUGUGUUUUGUACGAAAGACAAUCAAAUUAGUUUAACUAUUUAAUUAUUAAUACCUUAACUAUUAACAUCUUCUCUUUUUUAACUAGCCAACACUUUAUACAACGAAAUAUUUUGUAUUUAACCAAAUUGGU